rnacentral:rRNA from 1 species
GAUGAACGCUGGCGGCGUGCUUAACACAUGCAAGUCGAACGAAGCACUUAAUGAGAUUUCUUCGGAUUGAUUAUUUUGUGACUGAGUGGCGGACGGGUGAGUAACGCGUGGGUAACCUGCCCCAGACCGGGGGAUAACAGUCGGAAACGACUGCUAAUACCGCAUAAGCGCACAGUGCCGCAUGGCACGGUGUGAAAAACUCCGGUGGUCUGGGAUGGACCCGCGUCCGAUUAGUUAGUUGGCGGGGUAACGGCCCACCAAGACCGCGAUCGGUAGCCGACCUGAGAGGGUGACCGGCCACAUUGGGACUGAGACACGGCCCAGACUCCUACGGGAGGCAGCAGUGGGGAAUAUUGCACAAUGGAGGAAACUCUGAUGCAGCGACGCCGCGUGAGCGAAGAAGUAUUUCGGUAUGUAAAGCUCUAUCAGCAGGAAAGAAAAUGACGGUACCUGACUAAGAAGCCCCGGCUAACUACGUG